rnacentral:rRNA from 1 species
UACGGAAGGGGCGAGCGUUGUCCGGAAUUAUUGGGCGUAAAGAGCUCGUAGGCGGUCUGUCGCGUCGGAUGUGAAAGCCCGGGGCUUAACCCCGGGUCUGCAUUCGAUACGGACGACAACUAGAGUGUUGCAGGGGAGACUGGAAUUCCUGGUGUAGCGGUGAAAUGCGCAGAUAUCAGGAGGAACACCCGUGGCGAAGGCGGCUCUCUGGGACGGUACUGACGCUGAGACGCGAAAGCGUGGGGAGCGAACAGG